rnacentral:rRNA from 1 species
GACGUAGGGGGCAAGCGUUGUCCGGAAUUAUUGGGCGUAAAGCGCGCGUAGGCGGCUUUGCAAGUCGGGUGUGAAAUCCCCAGGCUUAACCUGGGAACUGCAUUCGAGACUGCAUUGCUAGAGUAUGGGAGAGGGAAGUGGAAUUUCAGGUGUAGCGGUGAAAUGCGUAGAUAUCUGAAGGAACAUCAGUGGCGAAAGCGACUUCCUGGACCAAUACUGACGCUCAUGUGCGAAAGCGUGGGGAGCAAACAGG